rnacentral:rRNA from 1 species
CCUACGGGAGGCAGCAGUGAGGAAUAUUGGUCAAUGGACGAGAGUCUGAACCAGCCAAGUAGCGUGAAGGAUGACUGCCCUAUGGGUUGUAAACUUCUUUUAUAUGGGAAUAAAAUGUUCCACGUGUGGGAUUUUGUAUGUACCAUAUGAAUAAGGAUCGGCUAACUCCGUGCCAGCAGCCGCGGUAAUACGGAGGAUCCGAGCGUUAUCCGGAUUUAUUGGGUUUAAAGGGAGCGUAGGUGGAUUGUUAAGUCAGUUGUGAAAGUUUGCGGCUCAACCGUAAAAUUGCAGUUGAAACUGGCAGUCUUGAGUACAGUAGAGGUGGUCGGAAUUCGUGGUGUAGCGGUGAAAUGCUUAGAUAUCACGAAGAACUCCGAUUGCGAAGGCAGCUCACUGGACUGUGACUGACGUUGAGGCCCGAAGGCGUGGGGAGCAAACAGGAUUAGAUACCCCAGUAGUC